rnacentral:rRNA from 1 species
UGUAAGCGUAUACCAAAGUUGUUGCAGUUAAAACGCUCGUAGUCGGAAUUUGGCAGUUCCGGAUGUGUGCACGUCGUGUGCGCACUUCGCGGGGAUUGCGUUUGUGGUCUUGCGUAGGAUGAGGCACUUUUAUUAGUGAACGUCCUCACGCAACCACUUUUUACUGUGAGAAAAUCAGAGUGCUCAAAGCAGGCAUUUGCCGUGAAUGUAUUAGCAUGGAAUAAUAGAAUAGGACUUGGUUCUAUUUUGUUGGUUUGUUGGGACUGAGUAAUGAUUAAGAGGGACAGUUGGGGGCAUUUGUAUUUCGGUGCUAGAGGUGAAAUUCUUAGAUUACCGAAAGACAAACUGCUGCGAAAGCGUCUGCCAAGGAUGUUUUCAUUGA